AACGCGAAGAACCUUACCUGGGCUUGAACCGCUACUGACCAACGGUAGAAAUAUCGUCUUCCCGCAAGGGACAGUAGUAGAGGUGCUGCAUGGCUGUCGUCAGCUCGUGCCGUGAGGUGUUGGGUUAAGUCCCGCAACGAGCGCAACCCUUAUUCGUAGUUGCCACCCGCAAGGGGGAACUCUACGAGGACUGCUCCGGAUAACGGAGAGGAAGGUGGGGAUGACGUCAAGUCAGCACGGCCUUUAUGUCCAGGGCUACACACGUGUUACAAUGCGCGGCACAGACUGUUGCGAACCCGCGAGGGGGAGCUAAUCGGAAAAACCGCGCUCAGUUCGGAUUGCAGUCUGCAACUCGACUGCAUGAAGCUGGAAUCGCUAGUAAUGGCGUAUCAGAUCGACGCCGUGAAUACGUUCCCGGGCCUUGUA
rnacentral:rRNA from 1 species